AUGACAAGAAUUAUGGAACGUAGGGAGUACUGGCUAGGAACACACCUCAAGGACGUCGCCGAUGUUGACGACGAGAGCUCCGGGCAGGGCGUGCACGGAGAACCACUCCCCAUCCUUCCUGAUCUGCAGCCCUUGCACGUCGUUCGCGUGGAGGAGGAGCGUCAUGCCGACGCCGUCGGUGUGCGGCGAGAGGCCCAGCACCUUGCCGGCCUGACGGCAGGGAGGGUAGUAGUUGAUCCUCACGCACUGGGGCAGACCCUUGAAGGUGCCAAGGAGCGCCUCCUGGUCAACUCCCAGGUCCCUGGCCAUGAACCUGAACAGUUGCUCGGCCACACUUGCUAG
rnacentral:rRNA from 1 species